AACGAACGCUGGCGGCAUGCCUAACACAUGCAAGUCGAACGAUUGCCCUCGGGUUUUGUUGGCGCCCGGGUUCGUAACGCGUGGGAAUCUGCCCUUAUGUUCGGACUAUCAGCUGGAAACGGCUGCUAAUACCUGAUGAUAUUGCCGGAUCAAAGCUCGAUCGCCUGAGGGUGGGCUCGCGUUGGAUUAGGUGGUUGGUAGGGUAAAGGCCUUCCAAGCCGAUGAUCCAUAGCUGGUCUGACAGGAUGAUCAGCCACACUGGGGCUGAGACACGGACCAGACUCGUACGCAGGGCAGCAGUGGGGAAUAUUAGACGAGGGACGCAAGCGUGAUCCAGCAACGCCGGGUGAGUGAUGAAGGCCGUAGGGUUGUAAAGCUCUUUUACCCGGGAAGAUAAUGACGGUACCGGGAGAAUAAGCCCCGGCUAACUCCGUG
rnacentral:rRNA from 1 species